rnacentral:rRNA from 1 species
AGGCAGCAGUAGGGAAUUUUGCGCAAUGGGGGAAACCCUGACGCAGCAACGCCAUGUGUGGGAUGAAGCAUUUCGGUGUGUAAACCACUGUCAGUAGGGAAUAAACGGCAGCCCAAGGGGCUGCUUUGAAUGUACCUACAAAGGAAGCGCCGGCUAACUUCGUGCCAGCAGCCGCGGUAAUACGAGGGGCGCAAGUGUUGUUCGGAAUCACUGGGCGUAAAGGGAGCGUAGGCGGGCUUUUAAGUUAGGUGUUUAAUCCCGGGGCCCAACCCCGGACCGGCACCUAAAACUGGGAGUCUUGAAUAGUGGAGAGGUCAGUGGAAUUGGGGGUGUAGCGGUGGAAUGCGUAGAGAUCCCCAAGAACACCAGUUGCGAAGGCGGCUGACUGGACACAUAUUGACGCUGAGGCUCGAAAGCAUGGGGAGCAAACAGGAUUAGAUACCCUGGUAG